rnacentral:misc_RNA from 1 species
ACGCAACAGUAUAUGGAAUGCGAAAUUUCGUAUGAACCGCUGGACCAUUCUAAUGGUGAUAUUCAACAUCAGAUGGCGCGGCAAUUUGAGUUACACAUGAACACAGAGGAGUUUCCACGGGCCCUGUCGCCGACGCACCUGGCGCAUCGACCGAGAAACAGAAACAGCUGUCUGUUCGAAGCAACUUCGAGAAUAUCGUUGGUUGAUCGUCGAUCCAGAAUCGUGUGGAUCUUCGUUGCAUUAUUCGUGGAAUGCGGAGUAACGAGGUCUCAGGGUAUCGUGUCUGUCAUCAAACGCGUACUAGCCUGCCCCUUACUUCGCCACUCUUUACCGCUUUAGGCGGUCGCUUCGACGAUAACGUGCUUGCCUUUUAUUUUUCCGAUUUCUACGAUCCGGAACGUUUCUCCCCCUUUCCUCUUUCUCUCUCUUUCCCUCUCGCUCUUUCCCUGACCCCACUUGCUUAUUCUCUUGCUCUUUCUUUCCCUCUCUUUUUCUGUUUUUCUCUCUUUCUCCCUUUCAAGGGAUUCUCUGCUUCUCUGUCCCGCACUUUCUCUCUCUCCCGUGCGAAGUUCCUCUGGAGAUUUCUGUGUGCUUCGUUGACGAUGUAAACAGAGUGAUAUUUUUUUGAAGAAAAGAUUUUAUUCGUUGUCCCUAUUUACCCGUCUCCUUCGAUCAUCUACUACUGUUGUUGUUGCUACUGCUGCUGCUUUAAUGCGUACGCGAAUGUGACGCACCUAUAGUUGGAGUACGCGCGCAUCAACAAGCAGCAUUUUCUUCGAUGACAUUGUCUUUUAUCGGUAACGAUUUCUAAGAUAAUUGUUGCAUAUAUCGAGAAAAAGUUACACCAUUAUGAGUAAAACGUAACUAUAUGCAAUUGUUGUACAAUGAAGAAAUCAUUGGUAGAAAUUACCAAAUAAACAUGGGAAUUCUACCGAUAUGUCUUGCGAUCAAAUAUUGAGCACAUUGGCAAAGAUGUGCUUUGUACAAUUGCGAAGAAACUGAAUGAAUAAACAAAAUUAUAAGGAAUGGUAUUCUAUUGGACAAUAUUGGAUGUUAGAUAAGCUGAAAAAUGUCUGGUGAUUCAGGAUGGAGCGCCGUUAUUCACCAUCCUUCGGAAUUAGAAUUGCAAAAUUGGAACUGGGAGGAAAACGAUGGGGAGCAGGAAAGAGAGCUCCCAUCGACUGUUGAUAUGGAUGCCAUAAAAGGCGGAGGUAGCUGGGAUCCAACCACCGAACUUAAUGGAACAGAUUCGGUUGAUUCAGAAGAGGAUUCCGAUUCCGACGACGAAAGUUCAGGCGGUACAGAAGGUAGUUGUUCUUAUUCGGAUUCAAAUUCGGACUCGGACGACGAAAGUAGUGGUGAAGAAGAAGAUACUGGCUCCAAUUCGGAUUGUACGUCAGAACACAGCGAACAAACAUUUUCUAUUCAAGAAACAAAUUUUGAAUCGGGAGCGCUUAAAUUAAAGAUUACUAUGAAAGGACCGAAAAAGGACGAUGUCGAAAAAUCGAAAUGCGAAAAAAAUAGGAGAAACGCGUCAAAGAAAGUUAAAGCCAAUCGCGGAACGAAGUCGUCCGAAUGCAGCAGCGAGGAAUCGGAUUCGUCGGAAAGCAGGCUACCUUUACAACACAUGCAACAACAGCAACAGAAUCAGCCAUCUCAACAACAGCAACAACAACAACAACAACAGCAACAACACCAGCCGCUUCAAGAAAUCAAUCAAGAGGAUUUGGCAGCUAUUUUACCGGACCAAGAGCACGAAGACGCUCCGUUCGAUGGAUUUGAGGAUUCAGAAAGCGGUCGGUUAGUGUCGAAAGCCAUUGAACGUAUGUCACUCGGAGCCGAUUCGGAUACGAGCGAAAAUGGCGAUCAGAACCCUGUACCUGUGUAUAGUUCCACAUUAUUGCAACAGUUCGUCGAAAAAACGGCUUUGCUAUCAGAACCGAGGAAAAGACGAAGUAAAAUCGGGAAGAAGGUGAACGAUUCGGAAUAUCCUUGCGUUUCAAACGUAUCACCGGACUCGGGAAUUCAAUCGGUAGAUAAUAGUCCUUUACAUUUGGCCAUCAGUCCUGUAAGUCCGCCGGCUCCGACGCAAUCCCCGGUGCAACCGGUUGUUACGAAGCCAGCGGUAAACGUAGAUCGUGUUUUGUACCCGCCAAAACGAAAACCUGGAAGACCGGCAAAAGCGGUCUCCGCGCAACCUCGAGGUCCUGGUAGGCCAAGAUUGAAACCGGAAGUCGUAGAGAAGAUAGAGAAAAUAGAAAAGAUCGAAAAAUCUGGGAGAACUGAGAGAAACGAAAAGAAGGAAACUUCGUCUCAACAGCAAAAAGUUGUAAAAGAAGAACCGAGUAAAAGGGGAAAGGUAAAGUCGGUGAUACAACAGAAAACUGUUGCGUCUCGAAGUGACAAGGAAGACGAAAAUGAAUUGGCUAAAAAUUUGAAGGAUAAAUCUGUUUGUCAAAAGAAACGGAGUUGCAACAUUUCCAAGCAGUGUUCUCAGGGAAAGGUAAAUAGGAAAAGAAAUAAUACAAGUUCUGCGAUGCGUGUCAAGUGCCUAAGUAGAAGCGUUGCGAAUAAGCACGGAAAAGAAGGGAUUAAAUGUAAUGGCGGAACGUGUAAAAAAAUAAGGAAAAAUAAACCUGGUACAGGAAACAAGACGACAACUCCGUUACGACGACAAAAACAAUUAGCUUGCGACAGAAUAUCCAAUGACAGGAAGGUUAUUGGUUCCAACAAGAGAAGCCUGAAAGAAAACAGAAGCAGUACGGGUCCUUUGGGUAAGAGGAAAACGUCGUUAAAAAAGAGCGUCGCACCGGUAACGCGACGUGUUUUAAAGGAAAAUAAAAGCACCAAAAAAGCAACGACUGGGUUCGAAACGAACGGCGUUGGCGUGCAAACUCUGAUAUCUUUACCAGUUGGCGAGGUGCUAAAGGCGGAAAAAGUCGAGAAUAUAACCAGCAAUAAAUGCGACAAGGCAACGCAGCCUAUACACAAUCAUUGCCAUAAACACCAUCAUCACAAACAUCGGCGGCGAUUGUUGCUGCCGCCUAAAAAUCCUAUACGCAUCCAUCCGUGUAUCAUCCAAGAACUAGAAAAAUUAAUCGAAGAAUUUUCCAGAUCUUGCAGUUUAGGUAGGAACAAUUCGAACGCCGGAUACUCUGAAUUACCACAGAUUUUUCGUGUAAAGAAAUUGACGAAGAAAAGGAAAGGCGACGUUACUACGAGUGAUGAUCAGAAAUUAAAGAGGCGUUUGAAGAAGGAGAAAACACUGUCGGGAUCGGAUUCGAAAGGCAGCACGAACUCUAGUACAAAUUCGAAUCCAAAUGAACAGAGGUUACCUUUGAAAAAGAGACAUUAUCAUGUGUCCAGUCCGCACAGUUCUCAAAGUUCGAACGGCAGCGGUACCGACGUGGCUUCGAAUGAAGCAAAUUCUACAGAAAGUCACAUAGAGGAAGCAAUCGAAGCAACGAUAACGAGAUACGGCGGUAGUUCAGCGUCUUUCUUCCAGGAAGACUCCGUACCAGUCACCCCGAAGAAAAGGCACAGAGACAGUGAAAACACAAGUCCUGACAAGUCGGGUGCAACGUCUUCAGACUUGCUGGAAGAGAAACCAUUGAACCAGGUAGAAGUUCAACCUCGUCGGAAAAAGAAGAUCGUUAAAGAUCUUCGUGUAACCGUCACUAAAUUAUCCGCUGAGAAUCAUGGUGCUUUCGAGAAGACCGAUAGUAAAACUGAGAAAUCCGAGAAAUCUUCCAGCGAUUCGAAAAGCUUGAAGAAUCAUGCGGAGAAGAAUGCAAAGGCCGUUGCAGAAAAAUCAAUAAAAACCGAUAAAAGCCAAACGGACAAGAACGAGAAGAGAGAUACCUCGCCCGAACAUGUUCGUUUGGACAAAAAUAUCAAAGUCGACGCUGCGGAAUUUCAUGUUCCGGAAAGCUUCGACGAAAGUGAAAUCACAAACGAAACUAAACCAUCGCAAAGUAAUCUCAGUUCGAACGUUCCGAAUCCAUUGAAUUCUUCUGCUGUACUGGUCUUAACCAAGAAAAAAAUGAGACGACGAAAGGCUAUUAAUCGUACCGGUUUCCCAACGUUAAAGAAAAAGAAGAAGAGAAUUCUGAAUUCUAGCGAAAUGGACGGAUCGAAAGGUGUUACCGUAAACAGUGAGGAUGGUGCAGAUAUCGCUGCCGAUGAUCAAUCCUUACUGAAAGAAGGCACUGAAGAUUCCACAAUGGAUAGUAAAACCACCUUAUUAAAUACGGAAAUAGAAGACGUAUUUACUGAGGAGCUUGGGAUUAAACACGGUACCAACAACACUGUUCGAGUACCAUCGAAAUCCAGUCUAAACUCGAGUCCAGAGAAUUCCAGUGCCUUGGACCAGGAAACGGCAGGUCGUGAACAGCCUGAACCUCGUUCGGGGCAAUUGAGAGUUCGAAAAGACCUCGUUGAAACUGAUAGUAGCGACAAUGGAUCCAACAAAUUAUGUCCUGUGAAGUUCGAAAAACUCCAAGAUUCGAGAUCGUACGAUGAAAAUGCGUCUCUGGAAGAGUCUCUCGAAAGAUACAAUGCAAGUCAAAAAGUGGUAGCUGAAUUGAACGAAGAAAAUGUGAAAAAAUUGGAGCGUGCAAGUUCCCAAGCGAAUAUAAAAACCGAGAACUCUACCGCUUUUAACGGGAACCAGAAGAAACGACGAGGUUCCUCGAGUCCAUGUAAUCUUACUCCCAGAAAUAUAAAACGACUACGCAGUGCGGGUUACGACACGGAGAACGACGUUCUAUCCAGCAGUGAUAUUCUUCAAGAAGAUCACGAAGUUGGAAAACAUUCAGGCUCAACGCACACGAGAAAGAAACAGUCCAGGUGGAAGAAGCGUUACUUUCAGGGUGGUAUUUUACAGGAUUAUGGUAAAGAUUAUGAAUCAAAAACGCGCGGAAAUAUCGAGAAUAUCAGUGCCUCUGGAAAAAAUAAAAUUGUCUGUGAAACCAACGAACCCGCGUCAGCUGCAUUAUUGUCUGCUACGUACCAGUGUGGCAAGUUACUGCGUCAAAGGAAAAUGCCUUUCCAGUUACCAUACGAUUUAUGGUGGUUGCAUACGCAAUCCAGAUUACCUGGUAGAGAGUCGGUACCAUCAUGGAAUUAUAAGAAAAUUCGUACGAAUGUAUAUUACGAUGUCAAACCAACUACGUUGUACGAAGCCCAAGCCUGUGAGUGCAAACCAGAGAGCGGUUGCGGAGAUGAUUGUAUCAAUCGUAUGAUCUUUAGCGAAUGCUCUCCCCAACUUUGUCCUUGUGGAGACAAAUGCGAGAAUCAAAAGAUUCAGAAACACGAAUGGGCUCCAGGUUUACAAAAGUUCAUGACAGAGGACAAAGGUUGGGGCGUGAGGACGCAACAAUCUAUUAAAUCUGGUGUUUUUAUUCUUGAAUAUGUCGGAGAGGUUGUCUCUGAAAGAGAAUUUAAAUCCAGAAUGGCGACGAGGUAUGCCAACGAUACACAUCAUUAUUGCUUGCAAUUGGAUGGGGGUUUGGUAAUCGAUGGACAUCGUAUGGGAGGUGAUGGAAGAUUCGUAAACCAUUCUUGCGAACCCAAUUGUGAAAUGCAAAAGUGGAGCGUUCAUGGGCUUCCGCGUAUGGCAUUGUUCGCGUCCAGAGACAUUAAACCUGGGGAAGAAUUAACGUACGACUACAAUUUUGCACUGUUCAAUCCAUCCGAGGGGCAAGAAUGCAGAUGUGGUAGUAGCGCUUGUAGAGGAGUAAUAGGCGGAAAAAGUCAGAGAGUUUCAAAAAGUAUCACCUCUCUUCCAACACAGUGUGAACCUACAGAACGAAGGUCGGUCGGAAGACCAAGAAAAAAUGUACGAAAAUCUAAUACUGUACAAUCCGUGAACUCAAAGGGCAUUUGUAAAUCUCGAAAAGUAGGCGAUACUAACUUGAUUCAUGCUCCUGUUCUAAAGCCUAUGUCUCAUCAACAGCGUUGUUUCGCGCAGCAACAUCAUUGUUUCCUCUUAAGAAAUUUAGAGAAAGUCAGGCGGGUUAAAUCGUUAGUGAAUCAGGUUCAAAUGCAGAACGGCAAAACGAAAGUCAAUAAUAUGGGUACCGUAAAGGAAAAGGGUCUUGGUGAUGCCAAGAUUCAAUCCGAUGCAUUUUUCUCUCAAUUAACUGCGCUGACUAAUACGAACACGCGUACUGUCCGAACUAGGAGAUUAGCACAAGCUCAGGAUGAUCCAGAAGUACAUAAAACUGCAAAGUUGGCCAAGGUAUUAAAAGAUCUUUAUAGCAUCGUUGCAACUGCAAACGACGAAAACGGGCAGUUGUUGUGCACGCCGUUUAUGACGUUACCUUCGAAAAGAAAGUUGCCAGAUUAUUAUGAAAAAAUAUCAGAUCCUAUAGACUUAACUACAAUUGAUCAGUGUAUUGGAACCGGUCAUUAUAAAACAGCCGAGCAUUUUGAUCAUGACAUGAUUAAACUUUUCGAUAACAAUAUAAGGUUCUUUGGAAGAACUUCCGAAAUGGGCAUCGCCGCAGCUAGAUUAAGGAAAUUAUAUUUGAGCAGUAAACCCGAUUUUGUAGACGCGAUAACAGAUGCGACAGGUUGUCCGCCUUCUCAAGGUUUCUUACCUCCUCGAGGUUCAACUGCCGGCGAAGAAGAUGUUAUCAGGUGUAUUUGUGGCUUGCACAGGGACGAAGGUUUGAUGAUUCAGUGCGAACGAUGUCUCGUUUGGCAACAUUGCGAUUGCGUUAAGGCCGAUACUAGCAUAGAAUCUUACUUAUGCGAGAGAUGUCACCCGCGACCAGUUGAUCUGGAAAUACCGUUGGAGGGCGAUGAAGAAGAAGAGGGGAAGAAACACUACGUUACUUUGAUGCGCGGUGAUUUACAACUCAGGCAAGGAGACACUGUGUACGUGUUGAGAGAUACACCCGAGAAACAUACGUACAAAACUAUUCAGAAACCGGAUUAUGAGCAAAUGGACAUCUUCAGAAUUGAGAGGCUCUGGAAGAAUACAGAAGGGGAAAGGUUCGUAUUCGGUCAUCAUUACUUAAGACCCCAUGAAACGUAUCAUGAGCCGACUCGAAAGUUUUACGAAAACGAAGUGGUGUGUGCUCCGUUGUACGAAGCAGUACCAUGUGACUUGGUUGCUGAACGCUGUUGGGUUCUUGAUCCUCAUACAUAUUGUAAAGGACGACCGGUGGGUUCUACGCCAGAGCAUACUUACGUGUGCGAGUAUCGCGUUGAUCGCGCUGCUCGACUUUUCACAAAAGUUGCCAGAGCUAGGCAUCAAGUUUGCACGAAACCUUACGCGUUUGAAACGUUUCCACAACGUAUUAAACAUUACCGUACAUAUUUACCCCAUAGUCUCGAAGGAAUACAGGUUGGAAGUAAAAUGAACAAAGAAAAGAAGAAAGCGAACAAUCAGGACGUGGAUACAAACCACAAGUCGGAAUCGGGUGACAACGCGAAAUCACACAGUAAAGAUCAACAAAAGUCCUCCACGAGUAAAGGUAGACGGCGAUCGAAUGAAAUUUUAUCUAUCACUACACCCACUACAUCGUACGCCCAGCGAGAAGAGCAAAGAAGAAGGUUGAAUAACAUUUUAAUCGGUUUACUACAAAAGAUGCCGAAUAAAAAGGAUCCUUUGGAUCUGUCAUUUUUACUAGAAAGGAAUAGGAGAAAUCGUAAAAGGCCAGGUGGAUUGAAUCCGUGACAUUGGGUUAUACAUCAGCGAUAAUACAAUAUUAUCGGUACGCAUAUGCGUAGGGCGUUCAUGCACACGUGUAACGCGUUGGUACUAUGGGCCACUAAUUUCAAUCGCAGUUACGUCUGUAAUCAAAGCGAUCACCCGAUCGAUUGUUUCAUUUCGCUACACGUAAAUUGAUGUCAUUUAAAUCGUUUCACGAGGAAAACGAUAAGCUACGCGUUUUCGUAUCCUUAUACUAUGACCCGUCCAUUCGUAUAAUUUAAUCUUAAAAAACGAAUAUCACUCUUUCUAGAGUUACGCUAUAUCAAUCGAGAUCUUUUUUAUAUAUUGUUUUUACGUAUAUAAAACUAUAGAAAAUUUAUAGGAUGGUACUUCGAUUGAGAUUUUCUGUAGUUUUUUGGCAUCAUUGUGGUAUUUUAGUCUACUUUCUCUUCUCCUGCGUCAGAAGUUAAGCAUCGAGCGGACAAAUGGGAACAGAAUCGAUCUUUUGAUUCUGAGUGGGAAAUUUAAAGUAAUUUAAUGCUAUUCAAGUCUUUUUUAAUAUUUUGAUCGUGUAGAGUUUAUUUGAGUUUGUGAAACAGAUGAACCGGAAUCGACGAUGUGGUUUCGGUACCUGAAACAACGUAUCAAUCGAAUUGCAUAUAACGAGAGCUAUUAUUAUGUCUAAUACAGUUCUAAUAUAAUUAGACUCGUCGAAUUGUAUAAAAGUAAUUUGUAAAUUUCCCUCAUAGUGCAUACAUUUAAGUGUACAAAUUAUAUACAUAAUUACUUGGGAUUGAGGAUUGUGACGCGCACGCGUCGGAGUAAUAAAAUUAAACCGCGCGCGUCGAAGAACAAUGGAAUAAGAGAAAAAAUAUCGAAUACAUGCGAGGCUUCAUUGCACAAAAGUACCAUUAUAUUUUUCAUAAUCCCAGUGUUAUUUUGAAUUAAGUGUAAUAUAUAGGUUUUUAAAUUAAUAGCUAAAACUCUACUAACAUAUUUAAUUUAUUCAUUAUCGCGAUCGAGUAUAGCGAAUUGUUGCUAUAACGACAAAUAUACGCAGGAUUUCGUAUUUAUUAUUACAUUAUACAGUUAGUAAAUACAUAUUAUUGAAAGCUAUUUAAUACGUAUAAGUCUUAUUUACAUUAUAUAUGUUUUUACGCUUUGCACGAUGUCCGAAUUUGUUUUUAUCGAAUGAACACACACUACGAUUACCCUAUUUCUGGUUUCCAAUGUUAACCACAUAAUGCAAGCAUGUUGUUUUAGCGUCAUCGUAAGAAUCUACGUAUAUUGUAUUUUUAUGGCAUGACAGACGGAAUAUCUACCUUUGUUAUUUAAUAUUAUUGAAACUAAUGAAUUUGGAAUUUAAAGAUUUUAUUGAUCUUUUAACAAAUAUUUUAAAAAUAUUUUAACGCGAAUUAUAUUUCGUACAAUAUUCUUGGAAUUAAUGUCUAUUAUUUGUUUACGGAUGAUCGUAUGAUUUGGGAUUCUCACUGACUUUCAAUACCUGCUUCGGAACAAAAGGGUACCGUUCUUUUUUUUUGUAGAAAUAAUCCUUUAAUAUACAAGGAGGUCACGACAACGGAGCGCGAAGCUUUCUCUGCAUGGAAUGGCAGAAAAGAAUAAGUUAGAAGAGCUUAUGAUUUACCAAUACCUAUGCGAGCUACAAAUGAGAAUUUCUGCGCAAUUACACGGAAUGCGUUAUAAAUAUUAAAGAAGGUCAACAUGGUCGAUUACGUUGACGAUUACAUUAAGCGUGUGCGAAGACUGAAUUACUGAUACAGGAUAUUUCUAGCAGGUAAUUGUGCUGAUCAAAUCUGGGUUGUAAAUAAUUGAAAUUCGAAAUAAAUAGAAGAUAUUUUUUAUUUUUA